rnacentral:rRNA from 1 species
AUGGUAUUCCAUCUGCGAGCAAACCACAGAGGUUAUGCUACAGGGAUGGACACUUGCAGCAGCAGAGAAGCGGCUGCUGUUUACAGUGUCAUACGGCACUUCCUGGUCAAGUGCUCUUCACAGGGACAAGAUGUAGUACAAAAAGGAAAGAAUGGCACAACUUCAAGCAAUGCUCAGUGGAAAGAGAAGUCGUUUUUGGUUUGGAGGCUCACGGUGACAGAUGCCACCACUGCCAAAACCUAUAUGAAUCAUCAUUGCAUCACAAGAACAGAGGAAACAGCAAUAACAUCGACAGAAGAUGGUGGAAACGUAGAGGCUUCAGUGUGUGUAACAACAUAA